rnacentral:rRNA from 1 species
GCCUACGGGAGGCAGCAGUGGGGAUUAUUGGACAAUGGGCGCAAGCCUGAUCCAGCCAUGUCGCGUGUGUGAAGAAGGCCUUAGGGUUGUAAAGCACUUUCAGUGGGGAGAAAGGUGAUUCACCUAAUACGUGAGUCAAUUGAUGUUACCCACAGAAGAAGCACCGGCUAACUCCGUGCCAGCAGCCGCGGUAAU